rnacentral:misc_RNA from 1 species
GAUGAAGAACGCAGCGAAAUGCGAUAAGUAAUGUGAAUUGCAGAAUUCAGUGAAUCAUCGAAUCUUUGAACGCACCUUGCGCUCCCUGGUAUUCCGGGGAGCACGCCUGUUCGAGUGUCGCGAAAUUCUUCAAGCCUUGGAUGGAUUUUUUUUGUCUGUCCUUGGGCUUGGUUGUUGGGCUCUGCCGUGUCCUUCAUUGGGACGGCUGGCCUUAAAAGCAUUAGCCGAUCCUCGUGUGGUACUGGUUCUACUCAGCGUGAUAACAAUCUGAUCGUUGAGGACAUCUUCUGGAUGGCCAGUCAUCAUUUGGGUUGCUUCUAAACCGGUUUCGCAGAUUGCUCAAUCUGUGUGCCACUUUUCAGCUUUGACCUCGAAUCAGGUGGGACUACCCGCUGAACUUAAGCAUAUCAAUAGCGGAGGA